UCUCCGGGCCGGAGGCCCGUAUGGGAUUUUCGCUGGAAGAGAUGCAUCCCGAGGCCUUGCCACUUUCUGUCUGGAUAAGGAGGCUCUGAGAGAUGAGUAUGAUGACCUCUCCGAUCUCAACGCUACACAGCAAGAGACCUUGAGGGACUGGGAGUCACAAUUCACUUUUAAGUAUCACCAUGUUGGUAAGCUGCUGAAGGAAGGGGAGGAACCCACUGUAUACUCUGAUGAAGAAGAAAAAGAUGCUCACGAUGCAAAGAAAGACUAGAGAGUGCAGUGAUUAACAAUCUGGUGUUCAAUCAUAAAGGAUCAUUUUUAACAUUCCACUUCUGUUUCACAAGUUGCAACAGCAGCAUUGCUUGCAAAAGGUCCAGAGUUAUGAUGAAUCGUUUCUUUUCAAAGACUUACUUUUCAAAUUCAGUAGUAAACUACUAAGAUCUGUCUUCCUUUAAACCUGCACAAUCUGAAGUAUGCACUAAAAGUGUCUGUGCAAAAGUAAACUGCAAUUUUGGCAAUAAAGGACAAUUACUGUUUUUCUUCUAUCACCAGUAGGUUGAAAUCCAGAUUUUCAUUAAGAACCUAGCACUGUGGAAACAAGCA